ACGGAGGGUGCAAGCGUUAAUCGGAAUUACUGGGCGUAAAGCGCGCGUAGGCGGCUUUGUAAGUCGGAUGUGAAAGCCCUGGGCUCAACCUGGGAAUUGCAUUCGAAACUACAGAACUAGAGUAUAGUAGAGGGAAGUGGAAUUUCCGGUGUAGCGGUGAAAUGCGUAGAUAUCGGAAGGAACACCAGUGGCGAAGGCGACUUCCUGGGCCAAUACUGACGCUGAGGUGCGAAAGCGUGGGGAGCAAACAGG
rnacentral:rRNA from 1 species